UUGUGGUUAAAAAGCUCGUAGUUGGAUCUCGGCGGACUGAGGGCGGUUUGCUUGCUAGUAUUACUGCCCUAUAGUCCGUAGUUUUGCCAGAGGUUUCGGGGUGCUCUUAAUCGAGUGUCCCGGGAUGCUGGCAGGUUUACUUUGAAAAAAUUAGAGUGCUCAAAGCAGGCUAUUACGCCUGAAUAUUCGUGCAUGGAAUAAUAGAAUAGGAAGUCGUUUCUAUUUUGUUGGUUUUCGGAAAUCGACUUAAUGAUUAAUAGGGACAGUCGGGGGCAUUUGUAUUCAAACGACAGAGGUGAAAUUCUUGGACCGUUUGAAGACAAACUACUGCGAAAGCAUUUGCCAAGAAUGUUUUCAUUAAUCAAGAACGAAAGUUAAAGGUUCGAAGGCGAUUAGAUACCGCCCUAGUUUUAACCAUAAACGAUGCCAGCUAGCGAUCUGCGGACGUUUUUUUUGUAGACUCCGCAGGAAGCUUCCGGGAAACCAAAGCAUUUGGGUUCCAGGGGAAGUAUGGUUGCAAAGCUGAAACUUAAAGGAAUUGACGGAAGGGCACCACCAGGAGUGGAGCCUGUGGCUUAAUUUGACUCAACACGGGAAAUCUCACCAGGCCCGGACACUGGAAGGAUUGACAGAUUGAUAGCUCUUUCUUGAUUCGGUGGGUGGUGGUGCAUGGCCGU
rnacentral:rRNA from 1 species